UACGUAGGCAGCGAGCGUUGUUCGGAAUUACUGGGCGUAAAGAGUGUGUAGGCGGUGCUCUAAGUUCGGUGUGAAAUCUCUCGGCUUAACUGGGAGGGUGCGCCGGAAACUGGAGUGCUCGAACGUGGGAGAGGAAAGCGGAAUUCCCGGUGUAGCGGUGAAAUGCGUAGAUAUCAGGAGGAACACCUGCGGUGUAGACGGCUUUCUGGACCAUUGUUGACGCUGAGACACGAAAGCGUGGGUAGCAAACAGG
rnacentral:rRNA from 1 species